GAUGCUGCUUCUUCAAUGCAAGGAAAGGAAAUAACCCCAGCGAGGUACUCUUCAGGGAUACAGGUCUAGUACAAGAAAACUCUUGACGGCUACUAAGUUCAGCCAGUCUUAAGAAACUGUGCUGUUUCUACAAAGCUUUAACUACAGUAGUUUAUAAGGAUGCCAACGAAAGCUGAGGGUGUAGAGCAAAAUAGUUCUAAGCUUCAGUUAAACUUCUUUAGCAUUGAUAUGAACCAUGGACAAGUAUAUUCUGCUGCCACAAAGACUGUAAAGUGCUUCAUUUCAACAGCUGAGGCAAGCCAAGUGAUCAUUAAUAAAGCUUUUCUUGGUUCCUUCAGUGGUGUUGGUAGUAAAAUGGAAGGUGUCUUGCUGCAGGUAACUAAUGAAGAAGUGGUCAACCACAGAGUCUUCAAGAAAUAAGAAAUUCUGUACCAUCUGAAAGUAGUUCUGUUGGUGCCUUCAUUUUAAAAAAGCACUAUUUAAAAUUAAAGGGAAAUGUUUUCUGAUAAAAUAACAAGACUUAUUUAGUAUAGGUUCUUAAUAUAAAAUAAUUACAAAUUCAGUGUUGUUUGUAAAAGUAACAUCAGAUCAGCUAGAGAAAUGUAUCAUGUUUUGAACUAGGUUUUGUGAGUAGAGAGAUUAAAAUUUAUUUUAAAUA
rnacentral:lncRNA from 1 species